rnacentral:rRNA from 1 species
ACGGCUCAGUAACACGUGGAUAACCUGCCCUUGGGACCGGCAUAACCCCGGGAAACUGGGGAUAAUUCCGGAUAACGCAUAUGUGCUGGAAUGCUUUAUGCGUAAAAUGGAUUCGUCUGCCCAAGGAUGGGUCUGCGGCCUAUCAGGUAGUAGUGGGUGUAAUGUACCUACUAGCCAGCGACGGGUACGGGUUGUGAGAGCAAGAGCCCGGAGAUGGAUUCUGAGACAUGAAUCCAGGCCCUACGGGGCGCAGCAGGCGCGAAAACUUUACAAUGCGGGAAACCGUGAUAAGGGGACACCGAGUGCCAGCAUCAUAUGCUGGCUGUCCAGGUGUGUAAAAUACACCUGUUAGCAAGGGCCGGGCAAGACCGGUGCCAGCCGCCGCGGUAACACCGGCGGCCCGAGUGGUGAUCGUGAUUAUUGGGUCUAAAGGGUCCGUAGCCGGUUUGGUCAGUCCUCCGGGAAAUCUGAUAGCUCAACUAUUAGGCUUUCGGGGGAUACUGCCAGACUUGGAACCGGGAGAGGUAAGAGGUACUACAGGGGUAGGAGUGAAAUCUUGUAAUCCCUGUGGGACCACCUGUGGCGAAGGCGUCUUACCAGAACGGGUUCGACGGUGAGGGACGAAAGCUGGGGGCACGAACCGGAUUAGAUACCCGGGUAGUCCCAGCCGUAAACGAUGCUCGCUAGGUGUCAGGCAUGGCGCGACCGUGUCUGGUGCCGCAGGGAAGCCGUGAAGCGAGCCACCUGGGAAGUACNGCCGCAAGGCUGAAACUUAAAGGAAUUGGCGGGGGAGCAC